AUGUCGCCACCGACGCCGACGCCUGCCAACGGCGGCAGGCUGGAUCUGGACGGCGUGCUCGUAGCGCUGCUCACCAUCUGCGUGAUCUGGGCCGACGGGUUCAUCUCCUCCCACCUCUGUGAGAAGCUCAUGGCCGAGACCCCGCACUCUGUCCUCGCUGUCGACCACCUCGUCGACCCACCCCCGCCCCACCUUGCCGGCUGCAUCUCCUUCCCCUGCCUCAACAUCAUGAACAACUCCCGCCUGGAGGGCCUCAUCAAGACCAUCGACGACGGACAACCACCACUGUCGACCAUCACCAUGCAGUCCAGCUCCAAAGCGGCCGGCGGUAAUGGCGACGAGAAGCACUUGGUUUGCGUGACCGGGGCGGGGAGCUACAUCGGCUCUUGGGUGGUGAAGGAGCUCCUCCUCCGUGGCUACCACGUCAGGGGAACCGCCAGGGAUCCCUCUGACCGCAAGAAUGCGCACUUGCUGGCGCUGGAUGGCGCCCAGGAGAGGCUCACCCUGUGCCGUGCCAAUGUGCUUCACUACGACGGCCUCUGCGACGUGUUCCAAGGAUGUCACGGCGUCUUCCACGUCGCCUCCCGGGUCUCCAACGAUCCCGAGCUCGUGCCGACGGCCGUGGAGGGAACGAUGAACGUGAUCAACGCGGCGGCGGACGCGGGCGUGCGGCGUGUGGUGUUCACUUCAUCCUACGGCGCCGUGCACAUGGACCCCAACCGGAGCCCCGACAUCGUCCUCGACGAGUCGUGCUGGAGCGACUAUGACUACUGCAAACAAACCGGCAACCUGUACUGCUGCGCCAAGAUGAUGGCGGAGGUCGCGGCGACGGAGGAGGCGGCUAGGAGGGGACUGGAGCUGGCCGUGGUUGUGCCGGCCAACACCGUCACCGGCUACAUUGAUGUCCGGGACGUCGCUCGCGCGCACGCUCUCGUCUACGAGCACCCAGACGCCCGCGGCCAUCGCUACCUCUGCGUCAGGGCCGUGCUGCACCGCGCCGACUUCGUCGGCCUCCUCAGGGACCUCUACCCGCAGUACCCCGUCACGGCCAAGUGUGAAGACGACGGCAAGCCAACAGCGAGCCCGUACAGGUUCUCGAACCAGAGGCUCAGGGACUUGGGGCUGGAGUUCACUGACAUGAGGACAAGCUUCUACGACACUGUGAUAUGCCUGCAGAGCAGGGGUCAUAUCCCCGUCAUCGUGCCACGUCAGCGUGCAUGCUUGUAA
rnacentral:rRNA from 1 species